AGAUUGAACGCUAGCGGGAUGCUUUACACAUGCAAGUCGAACGGCAGCGCGGACUUCGGUCUGGCGGCGAGUGGCGAACGGGUGAGUAAUAUAUCGGAACGUGCCCAGUAGCGGGGGAUAACUACGCGAAAGCGUGGCUAAUACCGCAUACGCCCUACGGGGGAAAGGGGGGGAUUCUUCGGAACCUCUCACUAUUGGAGCGGCCGAUAUCAGAUUAGCUAGUUGGUGAGGUAAAGGCUCACCAAGGCGACGAUCUGUAGCUGGUUGAGAGGACGACCAGCCACACUGGGACUGAGACACGGCCCAGACUCCUACGGGAGCAGCAGGUGGGAAUUUGGACAAGUGGGGAAACCCUGAUCCAGCCAUCCCGCGUGUGCGAUGAAGGCCGUUGGGUGUAAGCUACUUUGGCGAGGAAGAACGGCGUACCC
rnacentral:rRNA from 1 species